AAAAAUAAAAGUUAUACGCGUUGGCUUACCCACUUUGACAACAUAGAAUUGUUUUCCCUCCUAAUCUAUAAUUUCCCCCCAAAACCAAUUUCCCUCCCCCAAAAUCUUCAUGUCUGGCUUAAUUUGGGGUAACCAACUAAUCCUAAAAAAAUUCACGCAUACAUAGGAAGACAUCUCCCUCUCUCUCCCUUUCUUGCAGAGAUUCAGUCACACACACAAGAUCCAGCAUCUCAUUCUGGCCACUGAACUUUCUCUCCAUCGGUCUCUUCAUCGUUUAUUCACUUCGCGCUCAUUCUGAGGUAUCGAUCUAACACAUAAUCAAUGGGAUGUUCAGAUGUUCCUUGUCCUGUUCGGACGGUUUUGACGGGAUUUCUGGGCCGAACAGGACUUGCAGAAAAAAAGGUGAAUAAUGCGGCCCCGAGUCACCCUUUGGUGGCUCACUUAGUCACUUACAUCUGAAACAAGCAUUUACAUUGUGGACACAUUAGGUGACCUGAUGCAUAUUAAUAAAUUAACACCUACAGCUGUAACUGAAGGUUCAUUUUUGCCUGUUUUACAGGCCGUAAUAUUACGGUUGGUGAGGCUGAAAGAAGCAGAGUAACAAUUAUAGAGCUGCUACAACAGAGCCCAGAACAAGAUGCUGCAAGUGUACUGUUUUCUUCAACUAUAACCAACAAAAGGAAUUCUGUGAAGGUGAGUGUAGAGUUGGUGGUUGAGGCUGCGAAUCUCGAGUUUGCUAGCCAGCCGUUUGAGGUGCUGUACCACCCUCGCACAAGCACGCCUGAGUUCUGAGUGAAAGCGUCAACUGUAAACGCAGCAAUGCGGUUUAAGUGGUCUCCAGAAAUAAGUCAAGAUGGCUUUAGAUAAAAAGGAUUAGUCGCAAAUUAGCUGGUUCAUGGGCACGAUUUCUUUGUUUGAUGUCAAAGAACAGUUUCGUUGGCCGAAUUCACCUUGGAGGCUUCUUGAGGGAUACUCUUUAUACCGUUAGCUUUAUGAGUGAGAUAUUAAUUAACAUGUAUUUAUAAGUGAGAUAUUAUUGAUUAUGUAUGAAUUAUAACUAAACCGAAUGUUGAAAGAAACAAAGUAAAAUGAAAAGUUGAAACAAAAUGGA